UACCUUUAGAUGAAAAUAUUCCUUAGCCUUCCUUCCAGACAACCAGCUGAGGCCUCAAACAAGAUAGAGAACAGGCAAACCAUUUCUCUUAUGCAUACACACACACACACACACACACACUUUCAUACAGUAUAACCACUUCAUUUUAGUGGGAGGUUUGUUACAGCUGCAAAUCGAAUACCUUAAAUUCAGAACAGUUUGUAUUAUUCUCUAUUUAUUCUUUCAUUUCUUCAUUGAACCAGUUAUUAAAAUUAAUUUUUUAUUUUCAAUCUUAUCAAUAUUUAGGAUAUUUUAGCCGUUAAUAACUUUGUUGCAAUUAGCAAAAAAGUCCUGACUAAGUCUUUGAAUAUUUUUGAGAAUUGAUUUACUGCUUACUACAUGGUCCAUUUAAUGAAAUAUUCUAUAUGUACUUAGAAAAGAUGUAUUACCUCUAUUUGUUGAUUUAAAGAGUUAAAUAUACUUUUAGGUUUUUUAAGAAAUUUGUAUUCUUCAAAUACUUUGUCUCCGGGAUAAUACAUUUUGUGUUAAUAACUCUGAGAGUAAUGUUAAAAUCUUCACAUAUCAUACAAGAGUUACCAAUUUCUUUUAGGAAUUCUGUAAAUUUGGGAUUAUAUAUUUUGAAGCUUUAGUAUGAGAUGAAUACAAGUUAUUUCUCAUAAUUAUUUUCUUGUAAAAAAUCCAAAUUAUUUGUGUACCAGCUCUUUUUUGGAUAGUGCUUCCCUGAUGAUUUUUUCUAUUUUUAAAAUUUUGAAUAUUUUAUUAGCAUUUUAAUAUUUCAUGAGUGUUUCUUGUAAAGAUAGAACAUUUCAACUUUUAAAAAAAUUAUGUCUCAAGUGAUAGUAUGUUUUGUGUCAUACAUUAAAUGUACUCUUGUUUCUUGAGAAAUUAUGUAUAAUUAUUUUAAUUUUCUGUGUGUGUGCAUAUGUAUAUGUGUGUGAAUCACUAAAGACAUUUCAGAAGUCUAAUUCUAAAUUUUCAAUUUUCCUUCUUACUUCUAAUAGAAAUGAUUAGUUUUCUUAUGUGUUUUUUAAAUUCUGGAUUGCGUACCUAAGGCUUAGCAGAGCACUGUUUUCCUCCGAAAAUAUUGUGAGGACUGUGAUGAGGUAGGAAUCUAUAGAAAGAAUUUGGAAUUGUUCUUCCAUUCGUGUAGAGCGCUACCAAGAAGUGAUUAAUUCAAGUUUACGUCCAUGUUUAAAGUGCCCUGGUUGAUCAGGUAGUAUGAAAUAGAACCUUCAGUUCACAGCUGGUAUGACUUCCAGUUAUGAAUUCUGACAGUGGUAAAGUUUAUACCUUCCUGGGCCUUGCUGUGGAAAAAUUAUCGAACGUUCUCCUUUGAUAAUAGACUGAUAUUUAUUUUUUUAGAACCAGCACCACCCUUUCAAUAUGUUGCUGUCCUUCCAGUGUCCUUUCUUUACAUGAAGUGUCAUUGUCAAAUCCUCCCCUUGCAGAGACAUGAGGGUUUAUCUUCUCUCUCGUUCUCUCAACAGGUCAUUCAAACCCAACCUUGAGCAACCGAGUACAAAUAUCUCCAGGAGCCGCAUCAUCAUUGUAAGUUUGCCACGGUGCUGCUCAAUUCCCGAGUCCUUUUCUAAAGCCUACGGUUUCUAUUUCUUUCUGCAAGUUCUGUGUUACUUUUAUACUUACUUUGGAGGAUAUUUACAAUAUCUGGUUCAUCAUGUUGCCAUACAUGGAAGUCUUAAUUUAUUCUACAAAGAAUAGCUGAAGUAAUCUUCUUCAAAAGGAAAAUCAAACUCCUUCUUAUGCCUUCCCAAUGAUCCUUGGAUUAAGACCAAACUUUGAAAAAAGACUGACCAGGCCCUGCAUGCGUAUUUCUGUUAAGCUGUAGCUUUAUUUUGCACUAUACUCUAUUUGACAUAUUUUUAAAUCCAGGAAUUAUAGUCUCCCAUCAUCAAUUUCAACGUUAUCAAAGCGCCUAUUUACAGGUUGUCGCUCCCUGGAACAUUCAUCCUUCUUUCAUUCCUCUAGUUAAUUUCCACUUCCCUCUGGAUCUCAGUUCAAACUUCACUUUCUCAGGAAAAGUCUUUCCUCAUUUGCUAACUGGGUCCUUUUUUUCCCUCCCUGAGAGCACUUGUAACCUCUCUCGCUGUUCAUCUGGGGUCAUACAUACACUUCAAAAUUCCAUAUGUGUGUACAAAAUUAUUUACUUAUAUCUGUUUCUCUACUUGAACUGGAUAUUCUCUGAAGGUAUGUAAUAUAUCUGCUUUUAUUUGUGCUUAUUAUCCCUAGCACCCAAAACGAAGCUGACAUUAAAUGCAUACACCAAAUACAUAAAUACAUAAAAAAAUAUGAAUGUGGACACCUUUUGAAUAGGACAUACUCAGUUGUCUAUUUUCCAGUCAGGUAGUAUUCCUAUUAUAAAGAGAAGCGGAGGUGCAUCUAGAGUUAGUCUGCUAUCUGAAGUUAGGAGUUUAAUUUUCUUUGGUUAGAGUAAUAUACCCAUCUCUUCUUCCCUUCACCUUUUUCAUUCUAUAGGUUGUAGUGAUGCCAUUAAGCAAUGCCAUUUUAGCAGAACCCCCAUCCACAGGAGUCCUGGGGACUCCAAAGCUGCAUGGAUGGUUGGUGUCCUGUAGCCUUGUGGUGAUGAUUACCAUAUAAGGCAGCUGUUCAAAAACAGUGACGACUUACUCAUGGCAAGAGUGUAUGGGAAAUAAGGUGCUCCUAUAAAUUCUAGACUCACUCAUAGGCACGGGUGUACAUUUACGAGUCCGGGCUUAGCAAAUAGUUUAGGUUCCAUCAGAUCGGCCAGGCACAGUCUCCAAAGAAGCAAACUGUGGGCUUUCUUCAAGCAAACAUCAUCGCCAGAAAUACACGAUGGAGUUAUUUAAGAAACUAGUAAGCAGCACAAAUGAUGGAGAAUCUGGUCAUAUGGCUAAAAAGUAUGGUUAAGAAGAUAUCUAAUUGUUUCUGCAGUUCUGUAGGCAGAUAGCAGAAUCCAUUCACAGGGAUCUACCUCAGAAAGGGAGGAAACGGCAAAAGCCAAAAAAGGGUUCAGGUUCAGGUUACUGGAGACAUUUUAUCAAAACUGUAAUUCAUAAUAGUAAUUCAGAUAGAAGUCUAGUGCCAUACCCCCACUUAUCAAGGAGGAGUGAAGAAAGAAGCAUGUUUGGGAUUGGAACUUGAGUGCAAAAGCAGUGUUAUUAGAAGAGAGACCCACUAAGAGUGAGCUGAGGUUUGGAGAUCUGCAGGUGAAUCCACAGGUUGGCACUGAGACACCAUGACCCAGUUCAUUCUAUUAUGAUGACUGACUCUAUCUUAAAUCCCAUGAGAUUGUCAGUAAGAUAUUUUGGUCUCAAUUUAAUGGACAGGAAAUCUUUAGUAUCUCUUCCCUCUUUGCUUUACCAAGUUAAUUCUCACCUUCUUUCACAUCUCAGUUCAAGUGUAAGUCCCAAGUUGGUCCCAAUCCCUCCUCCUCAACGUUUGCAUUAAUUCAUUCAAUAAGUUGUUAAGUUAUUUCUUAGCAUAUUUACUACAACACAGAUACUAAGGUACAAGCUAGUGAUACAGAAGUGAUAUAACAUAUUGUCUUUACCGUGGGGGUGUCUCUGCUAGAACACCUGGCUGUGGGCACCUGUGCAGAUGGGAGGGAACUGUGAGCUAUGAUUAUGUGUGGUGUUGGAGGGCCAGCUAGGGAAGGCAAAAGACAACAGAAAUGAGUUUAGGAAAUGUUACUAGAAGUAGCAUUUGCACAGUUUUGAAACUCACUAAAAAAAUAGCCUCCAGUCAAUCCCUGAGGUUUGAGAGAAGCAAAGGGUAAUAGCAAAGGGUAAUAGAGAACUCAGUGGGGUCUGCGGCUCUGUUGACUUACACUCACUAUUAAUUACUUUUCAUCUAUAACCAGGCUCUGAAAAACAGGCCUAUUUAGAAGCGGCACAUUUUCUACAUUUCAGUAACAGCUUGAGCGGGGCAUUUCUGACUCCUAAUAUCUGAAGAAAAGAAAUGAAUAAAUUAGUUGCAACAAGAAUCUGUAUGAGCAGUGUUUUAAUCCCAUCCAUCCCCACCAUCAACCUGGGAUGAGGUUAUCCAGCGGAAAUUUGAUAUUUUUGUUAAUUCUCCAGCUACACUGGUAAAUGUGCAAUUAGGCAAAACACUUUCCAUCACAUAGCAGGCAAGAACAUAAAGCACUGAUUCAAAAUACAAAAGCCCUUCCUGCUGUGGCAGGGAUCAUUCAUCAGGAUAAACCAGGUUGGAUCAUGACGGGGGCCUUUGUGCCAGAGCCUGGAUUUUCAUAAUGCGCGAGAUGCUUUCUCCUUGUAAUUACCCAUAAUGUUGCUGGGGUGAACUGGAGACACACUGCACAGUGAAUUAGCGAUCACAACUCUAUUGCAGGCCAUGGAAGGCAGCAGCCCUGCUAUUUCCAUCACACAGACUUCAGAUGCAAUUUUUGGAUCAGCACACCCUGUUCUCAUUUUCACUUUUAUCCUUUCUCUCCUCAUUUGCCCUGGGAGAUAUCCUUUGCACACUGUCAUGUCAUCUGCCCUCUGUGGGACUGUUAUUGAAAAUCAAUACUGCUACUGCAUCUAAACUUUCCCUUCAGAACAUUCAUCAUUUGCCUGUUAUGAAUAAUGAAAUAACUCCUUUAUGGGUUUAGGCAUUGCUUAUCUUAUUUCAGGAAUGACUUAAUCCAUCAAAAAUGCAUGGCUGUUGAACACUUAAGCAUUUUGCUAUGUAUAUGUUAUUUCAUGCUACUAUAAAAGAAUAGCAUAAACUGGGUAGCUUUAAUAGCAAAUAUGUAUGCUGUGCAGUGUGGAAGUUGGGAGGUCCAAGGUCAAGGUGCUGGCUGAUUUGGUUCCUAGUAAGAGCUGUCUUCCUGGUUUACGGAUGGCUACUUCCUUCCUAUGUCCUCAUAUGGUGGAGGGAGACAGUAAGCGCUCUGGGCUCUGAUCACAAGGGCACCAAUUCCACGAUAGCGGCUCCACCCUUGAGACCUCAUUAAACUUCAUCACCCUACGAAUAUCUUACCCCCUAAUACUAUCACUUUAGGAGUUAGGAUUUUGACAGAGGAGUCGGGGGAGGGGUGUAUAUGCAGUCCGUAAUACACCAGGACAGCAGAACAUCCCCACUCUGCUACAGGGCUGUCCAGGAGUUCAGAGUCCUAUGACAAAUUAAGUGACCACUAAUACACAAACCCUGGGAGACCGCUUUCAUGUUCAGUUUGUGAAUUUUCAAUAUUUCCUUCAAAGCCUUUCCUGGGAUUCAGAAAUAAAUUCUAUAGAUGCCAUCCAGACUACUUUAAACAUUUUUUUAAAGCUGCUAAUUUUGUAAAGCCCCAAGUACGUCUUAGCUAGUCAGCCCUUUCGCAUCUCAUUUAGGUGUACUUCUUUCUUGCUUUGCCAUCAGUUGUCUAUUCCUUGGGACCAAUACACUUUUUUCUUGAUCUCUUGUAGGCUAUUAUUUCUAUAUUUAACAACCUGGCCCAGUUUUUGCCAUCUAGCUAAAUUGAAGAGUUCAAGAGUUACUUUGGAUUAGCUCUUUGAGGUUAAAAAGCUUACCUGACCCUGCCUUGAGAGGUUUUUGAAGACUUACUGAGUUGGAAAAGUAAAUUGCUGUUCUCCCAUUAUCCAGGCCUUCCAACCAGAAACAAACAAACAAACCUGUGCUUAAUUCUCACCUUGCAUCCGCUCAAAUAUGAGUAGGUUCAAAUCUUGGUACAUAUUCCCUUUCAUUCUAAAAUUGCUACCAAGAACACUGACACCUCCAGAUGCUGUUAGCUUUUCUAAAAUUACCUCCGUUCUCUUUAGCAUUUACAACUAUAGAAAGAAAAGUAACAGGAUAUCCUACUGAGCUGAGAUGGGUGAGGGAAGGAGAAAACUUUAAAAGCCCUUUGUCCAUUUCUUUAGAAUUAAUGUAGGAAUGUGUCCUAUAUUAAAGUUUCAAGGGCUCUCUUAAAAACAGUUUGAAUGAGUUCAAGCAGCAAAACGCAGGGAGAAUAAUGUACUCUGGUGUCUUUUCUUAAAAUCCUCCUAAAAAAAUAAGGGAAAUUUGGUUUGCUUUCUCUGAUUGGUUUGUACAGAAGAAAUCUGGGAGUUCUCACAAUCUCUGAAUGAAUUUUUAUUCCAAUUUUUAUAUUUGAAUGAAAAUAAUUUCAACCCCAAAAUUAGUCUGUAAGCAAUACUGGAAAACGCUCUCAUGUAGAGAUUACCAAAUUACAUAGUAUUUUUUUCUUUAAAUAAAAUGCAAAUAACAGUUCCAUUGCUAGGGCAACUAUAGUGCAAUGAAAUAAGGCGUCAGUAUUACCACAAGAGAAAGAUGACGGGAAUUAUUAUUUCUAUUAUUUUUCUUAUAAAAAUAUAAGCCUUAACUAUGAUCCUAAUUUAAGCAUUUUAUAGAAAUGAUCAAGUGUCCUGGAAGAGAAAGCUUAGAAUACUUCAUUGGGUUUAUUUAAUAUGAAGUUUUCUUUUUUAAGUUUUAGUUCAAAUGGAGAUAAAUGGACACAUCUGGGUUAAGAUGUCUGAUUGAAGCCCUAUCAGAGACUAUCUCUUUCAUAACAGCCAAUGAAAAAAGGGAAAACCUCCAAAAUAUCAACAAUACAACCCAAAUUAAAUCAAACAAAUUAAAAAACAAGGAAAUAAAUGAAAUAUGCUGGAAAAAAAAUGAUCUUUAGCCAUUUUCAUAUCUCCUGAGAGUAGUACUCAUGAAUUUAAAAAAUUCC
rnacentral:lncRNA from 1 species